rnacentral:rRNA from 1 species
UAACCGGCGAUUUCCGAAUGGGGAAACCCAGUGUGAUUCGUCACACUAUCAUUAACUGAAUCCAUAGGUUAAUGAGGCGAACCGGGGGAACUGAAACAUCUAAGUACCCCGAGGAAAAGAAAUCAACCGAGAUUCCCCCAGUAGCGGCGAGCGAACGGGGAGCAGCCCAGAGCCUGAAUCAGUGUGUGUGUUAGUGGAAGCGUCUGGAAAGGCGCGCGAUACAGGGUGACAGCCCCGUACACAAAAAUGCACAUAUUGUGAGCUCGAUGAGUAGGGCGGGACACGUGGUAUCCUGUCUGAAUAUGGGGGGCCCAUCCUCCAAGGCUAAAUACUCCUGACUGACCGAUAGUGAACCAGUACCGUGAGGGAAAGGCGAAAAGAACCCCGGCGAGGGGAGUGAAAAAGAACCUGAAACCGUGUACGUACAAGCAGUGGGAGCACGCUUAGGCGUGUGACUGCGUACCUUUUGUAUAAUGGGUCAGCGACUUAUAUUCUGUAGCAAGGUUAACCGAAUAGGGGAGCCGAAGGGAAACCGAGUCUUAACUGGGCGUUAAGUUGCAGGGUAUAGACCCGAAACCCGGUGAUCUAGCCAUGGGCAGGUUGAAGGUUGGGUAACACUAACUGGAGGACCGAACCGACUAAUGUUGAAAAAUUAGCGGAUGACUUGUGGCUGGGGGUGAAAGGCCAAUCAAACCGGGAGAUAGCUGGUUCUCCCCGAAAGCUAUUUAGGUAGCGCCUCGUGAAUUCAUCUCCGGGGGUAGAGCACUGUUUCGGCAAGGGGGUCAUCCCGACUUACCAACCCGAUGCAAACUGCGAAUACCGGAGAAUGUUAUCACGGGAGACACACGGCGGGUGCUAACGUCCGUCGUGAAGAGGGAAACAACCCAGACCGCCAGCUAAGGUCCCAAAGUCAUGGUUAAGUGGGAAACGAUGUGGGAAGGCCCAGACAGCCAGGAUGUUGGCUUAGAAGCAGCCAUCAUUUAAAGAAAGCGUAAUAGCUCACUGGUCGAGUCGGCCUGCGCGGAAGAUGUAACGGGGCUAAACCAUGCACCGAAGCUGCGGCAGCGACGCUUAUGCGUUGUUGGGUAGGGGAGCGUUCUGUAAGCCUGCGAAGGUGUGCUGUGAGGCAUGCUGGAGGUAUCAGAAGUGCGAAUGCUGACAUAAGUAACGAUAAAGCGGGUGAAAAGCCCGCUCGCCGGAAGACCAAGGGUUCCUGUCCAACGUUAAUCGGGGCAGGGUGAGUCGACCCCUAAGGCGAGGCCGAAAGGCGUAGUCGAUGGGAAACAGGUUAAUAUUCCUGUACUUGGUGUUACUGCGAAGGGGGGACGGAGAAGGCUAUGUUGGCCGGGCGACGGUUGUCCCGGUUUAAGCGUGUAGGCUGGUUUUCCAGGCAAAUCCGGAAAAUCAAGGCUGAGGCGUGAUGACGAGGCACUACGGUGCUGAAGCAACAAAUGCCCUGCUUCCAGGAAAAGCCUCUAAGCAUCAGGUAACAUCAAAUCGUACCCCAAACCGACACAGGUGGUCAGGUAGAGAAUACCAAGGCGCUUGAGAGAACUCGGGUGAAGGAACUAGGCAAAAUGGUGCCGUAACUUCGGGAGAAGGCACGCUGAUAUGUAGGUGAAGUCCCUUGCGGAUGGAGCUGAAAUCAGUCGAAGAUACCAGCUGGCUGCAACUGUUUAUUAAAAACACAGCACUGUGCAAACACGAAAGUGGACGUAUACGGUGUGACGCCUGCCCGGUGCCGGAAGGUUAAUUGAUGGGGUCAGCGCAAGCGAAGCUCUUGAUCGAAGCCCCGGUAAACGGCGGCCGUAACUAUAACGGUCCUAAGGUAGCGAAAUUCCUUGUCGGGUAAGUUCCGACCUGCACGAAUGGCGUAAUGAUGGCCAGGCUGUCUCCACCCGAGACUCAGUGAAAUUGAACUCGCUGUGAAGAUGCAGUGUACCCGCGGCAAGACGGAAAGACCCCGUGAACCUUUACUAUAGCUUGACACUGAACAUUGAGCCUUGAUGUGUAGGAUAGGUGGGAGGCUUUGAAGUGUGGACGCCAGUCUGCAUGGAGCCGGCCUUGAAAUACCACCCUUUAAUGUUUGAUGUUCUAACGUGGACCCGUGAUCCGGGUUGCGGACAGUGUCUGGUGGGUAGUUUGACUGGGGCGGUCUCCUCCUAAAGAGUAACGGAGGAGCACGAAGGUUGGCUAAUCCUGGUCGGACAUCAGGAGGUUAGUGCAAUGGCAUAAGCCAGCUUGACUGCGAGCGUGACGGCGCGAGCAGGUGCGAAAGCAGGUCAUAGUGAUCCGGUGGUUCUGAAUGGAAGGGCCAUCGCUCAACGGAUAAAAGGUACUCCGGGGAUAACAGGCUGAUACCGCCCAAGAGUUCAUAUCGACGGCGGUGUUUGGCACCUCGAUGUCGGCUCAUCACAUCCUGGGGCUGAAGUAGGUCCCAAGGGUAUGGCUGUUCGCCAUUUAAAGUGGUACGCGAGCUGGGUUUAGAACGUCGUGAGACAGUUCGGUCCCUAUCUGCCGUGGGCGCUGGAGAACUGAGGGGGGCUGCUCCUAGUACGAGAGGACCGGAGUGGACGCAUCACUGGUGUUCGGGUUGUCAUGCCAAUGGCACUGCCCGGUAGCUAAAUGCGGAAGAGAUAAGUGCUGAAAGCAUCUAAGCACGAAACUUGCCCCGAGAUGAGUUCUCCCUGACCCUUUAAGGGUCCUGAAGGAACGUUGA